UGCUCUGGAUAAGGCUUUGGCUUAAGGGAAUGUGGUGGUUGGUUUGAUCUAUACAGACCACUAAAACUUUCUACUUACCAGC
rnacentral:pre_miRNA from 1 species